GUUAGCUUUGAAGAAAGAUGGUUCAUAGAGAAUGUGUGGACAGCCGAGCCAUAAACAAGAUUACAAUCAACUAUCACUUUCCUAUUCCUUGAUUGGAAGAUAUGCUUGAUCAACUGAUGGGUUCCCAGAUGUUUUCCAAGAUUGAUUUGAAGAGUGGAUAUCACAAAAUUAGAAUGAGGUGCAGAGAUGAAUGGAAGACAACUUUUAAGACACCGAAUGGGUUAUAGGAAAGGUUAGUGACGCCAUUUGCACUUUCCAAUGCGCCAAGUACAUUCAUGAGGGUCAUGACAGAUGUACUCAAGCAUUUCUUGAAUUAUUUUGUUGUAGUGUAUUUUGAUGACAUUUUGAUCUAUAGAUGCACUAAGGAAAAGCAUUUAGAACAUUAGAGACAAGUGAUAGAAGUACUUCAAAGGGAACAGCUAUAUCUAAACUUGCAAUUUCCUGCAAUCAAAAGUGGUGUUUCUUGGGUUCAUUGUGUCGGCAAAAGGUUUAAAACUAGAUCCAGAAAAAGUUCGUGCAAUCACUAAGUGGCCAGCACCUCAAUCCACCAAGGAAGCUUGUAUCUUUCAUGGUUUGGCAUCUUUUUAUAGGAGAUUUAUUUUAAAUUUCAGUUCUAUUAUGAGUCCUAUAACAGAAUCUAUGAAAAGGGGUGGAUUUGAGUGGUCAAAAUCUGCAUAAAAAGCUUUUGAACAAGUGAAAUUUUUGAUGACUGAAGUACCAGUUCUUGCACUACCAGAUUUUGAGAUUAUUUGUCGUAAAGUGUGAUGCUUCACAUGUAGGAAUUGGAGCAGCUCCAAGCCAAGAUGGAAAGCCUCUAAAGUUUUUCAGUGAGAAGUUGUCUGAUUCCAAGUGACGUUAUUCGACUUAUGACUUAGUGUUCUACCCCUUUGUAAGAGCCAUUCAUCAUUGGCAACACUACUUAGCUUACCGUGAGUUUGUGGUUUAUUUUGACCAUCAAGCUUUGAGAUAUAGAAAAGCUUAAUGAUAAACAUGCUAAAUGGAGUUCUUUCCUUGAUGAAUUUAACUGCUCAUUGAAACAUAAGUCUGGACAAUCAAAUAUUAUAAUUGAUGCCUUAAGUAGGAAAUCUUUACUUUUGUCAGUUAUGAGCACUCAAGUCACAGGUCUUGAGGAAUUAAAGAAUCAGUAUGGUUCUGAUCCUUAUUUCGGCAAGAUAAUUGCUGAUUUGCAACCUUCCUCACAAGCUGAAAAAUUGCCCUAUAGAUUGCAUGAAGAUUAUUUGUUUAGAGGAAAUCCAUUAUGCAUUCCAGAAGGGUCUUUAAGGGAGCAAAUUAUUAGAGAACUUCACGAAAAUGUUUUGGGAGGACAUUUUGGCAGGGACAACUUUCAAAAUGAUCACCGACCAUUACUAUUGGCCAAAGUUGCAAAGUGAUGUGGAGAAACUAGUGAAGAGAUGUCCAACUUGUUUCUUUGGCAAAGGAGGUACUCAAAAUACAGGUUUGUAUACUCCUUUACUUGAACCAGAUGAACUGUGGAUUUAUUUGAGUAUGGAUUUUGUUUUGGGACUUCCAAAUACAGUAAAAGGAGAUUUGAUUCUAUCUUUGUUGUGGUAGAUCAUUUCUCAAAAAUGACACACUUUAUCCCAUGUUCUAAAACCUCCAAUUAGGGGUAGCCACGGUCCGAUUUCAAACAGGAACUAGUUCGGUCAAAACUGGAACCGGCUUCGAACCGGAUUUGGUUCAAGUUCAUAUUUUUCAGAAAUCGUGAACUGGCGGUUCCGAACCGAAUUGAACUGACGGUUCCAAAUCAGACCAAACCAGUGAUUUAAAUACAAAAGAAUUCAAUAAAUAUCUCACCCCAUUCCUAAUUCAUUUAUAUAAAUCUUAAAUUCUCUACACUCUCUUUAAUUCUUAAUACUUUUUCAAUUUCUAUCAAAUUCUCUAAAUAAUUAUUUU
rnacentral:misc_RNA from 1 species